rnacentral:rRNA from 1 species
UACGUAGGGUGCGAGCGUUAAUCGGAAUUACUGGGCGUAAAGCGUGCGCAGGCGGUUUGAUAAGACAGAUGUGAAAUACCUGGGCUUAACCUGGGAAUGGCAUUUGUGACUGUCAGGCUAGAGUGUGUCAGAGGGGGGUAGAAUUCCACGUGUAGCAGUGAAAUGCGUAGAGAUGUGGAGGAAUACCGAUGGCGAAGGCAGCCCCCUGGGAUGACACUGACGCUCAUGCACGAAAGCGUGGGGAGCAAACAGG